CUAGAAAAUGCGAAUUGUAGCGAAAAUACAUAGGCGGCAGCGGUGGUGGUGGGCCAUGUUGGCCCGUUGGUGUGGUCAGAUUUUAACGCGCAUGUGAACAUCUGUCCGCCGUCGGCGAGGUAGGAAUUGAAUGCAGGGUCCAGUGUCUUCUCCACCUAGGGCGUGCUCAUCUGGGAGCUAGCGACCGCGGCAUGGAGAGGCGAAGCACCGGCGGCAAGCCACCAUGGAGUUCCUGAUGCAGCCAAUCGGAAGAUCCAGUCUGCUAGAGGAAGUAGGGGAGAGUUUGGUGGAGUAGUAGGUGAUGGAGCAGCGGCGGGCAGUGGCUAGCGCUGAUGCGCAGACUAUGGCGGCCAAGGAACCGGCGGUGCACAGGAGGGAGAGCUCACUUCCAACGUCAGAGCUGUCAACGGGGAGGUUGAAUCCUCUGGCGCCCGGAUGGAACAAUAGGCGGAGGAUAGGUACCAGUAGAACCCCUUGCCAAAUCGGAUCACUGCAUUUGAGAAGGCUGUCAGGUGUUAUGCUGACAACCUAGCUGAAAAUGUCAUCACACCAAUUCUUGGGACUGGUUUUGACUCUUUGGGCGACGCGUACGACUUCUAAAAUCUGUACUCUUGUGAGAAGGGCUUUGCAAUCCGACUUGUAAAAUCUGUACUCUUGUGAGAAGGGCUUUGCAAUCCGAUAUGGGAAGAGCCAGCUUAAUGUGGAGAGGAUGAAAUGCAUGAAGGUAAUGGUGUGUGGCUGUUCGGGUAAAGCUGGUGUUGAGAAAACGAGGUCUUGUUGAUGUGAGUGCCCUGCUCUGAUAAGGAUACUACGAUCAGAGAACAAUGGCUGAUAUAUUGCAGAGCAUAGAGUCACAACCAUUCGCUUUCUCCUAAUUUUGGUGAGACAAUCCAUUGGCCAUCGCACAAGCACAUAGACGUGUGCAGCGGAGAUAUUGUGAAGUAGCUGAGGUAGAACAAUGUGAACCUCGCUAAGGUAUACAGUCUCAUAGGAAGCAUCUUUGGGUCGAUGGAAAAUGUUCCGUUCACAAAGAGGUCUUUGCGUAAACUAUGUGGGAAGAUAAAUAGGAGGUGCUGAACCAUAUGCUGACGGAAAAUGAAUUUGAGAGAGGGUGGGAAAUGUUGCUGGAAUAAGAAAUCAUGCGGCAUGUAUUCUAACAUUGUUCUGUUUUUCUUACCUUGGUGCCAUCCCUGCUAGCUUUUCUAAACAUCACCAAGGUCAUUUGUAGUUUUUAUGCAAUUACUAGUUUAGGUCAAUGUUAAUUUAGCAAUGCAGCAGAAGGCUUCCUUUGCUUCCUUUUUCAUGAUUAUUAUUGUAUACCAGCAUCAAGUUUUUGUAUAGUUUCUUUAGGGGUAGAUUGCAGUGAUAUAGUUCAAUGACAUCUGUUUUCUGCUUUUCUGAGUUGAAGGCUAAUAUGUGACUAUCAUCUUAAACAAGUAUUUUUGAUAUCACUGAACCAUGAUUCAAGUCCAUGUUAUCAUUUUUCUCACUUAUUCUUCCUUUCAUGUCGAUUUAAUGUCAUAAUACAGAUGAUCUAAUGAUGACAAUCAGAAGACAAGAAACAGAGCGAAAGGGAUACAUUUUCUUCAUUGAUUUGAUACUCACCAGUGAAUACAUUUUCUUCAUUGAUUCCAAAUUCAAUUCUAGUGUGUACUCUUGUACCUCCUCUCGAAUAUUUUUCUUGUCUGAUACGCGAUUCAUAUUUUAUCGUCCUCUUGAAAGCGUUGUAGGUCUCAGACGUUCGUCCAUCUUGCUACCAUCUAUUCGGAAAGGCAUAUGGUUGCCCGGCAGUAAUGGAAGAAGAUUGGUGUAUGUUUCCUGGACCACAAGUAAUCUGCUUGCAUGACUCAUGUUUUGAUUUGAGUUACAGAUGAUGUAUUUUGCAACCAACCAUUGUCCUGUUCGUGUGGAUUACCAGCUGAAGAACACUCCCGUCUCUCGAGCAUUCAAGCAAGUAAGCUUCCUUAUGCGUUCCAUGGAUGAUUGGGCAUCGGAGUUACCACUUAAUUGUGUGCAUGCUUUUGCUGUUGCAAUUUAAAGUGGACCACCCAGAGGUGCAUUUGCACUCAUUUGUGACUGUGAAAUAAACCAUCCACAAUCAAAUUGGAGACCUUUGUAAUGUGGGUACUCUUGUGUCAGUCAUACCAUAAAAGGUUGACUAGGUGGCUUGUUUUCACUAACCUAACAUGCUGACCUGACAGGCACGCGAAGUUGCAUUGGUAAGCAGGUUUUUAUGAAGUUCUUUCCUCUUGGCAUGGUUAGGGCUAGUAGGAGAAUAAAUUAGCAAAGCUAUCAUGAUCAAGAAGAGGUGACCGAGAGCGACGAACUGAUCUAGGGACUGCAGACCAGUGUGCCGUACAAGCGCUAACUUCAUUUUUUUAAAUUACCUGUAGAAUUGACAGAACAUGUAUAAAUUCCAUACCUUUCUGGAACCAGUGCAUGGACUAAAUUUGUGGACAUGUUUGGGAAAAUACUUUUUCAUAAUUAUGACAUGAUUAAAGCCACUCCAAUAUGCAUGGAAUGCUUAUUGAAAGGACCACUCUCAAGCCGGCAAGAACAAAGAACAUACAACAGUUUUAAGACCAGCAGCCUUCUUUGGCAUGCACAUUUCUUUGUACUGGUAAGAUAAUGUCAUAGAUUGUACUAUGUGGUAUAACGCACAUAGGCCCAUUGUACUAUGUGGUAACAUUGUUGGGAGUUUUUUCGGGUGAAUGGAUAAUGUGUCGUUUACGAAGAGUUCUCUGAAAAAUCUGUGUGGAAAGAUCAGCCAGGAGCAGGUAGAUGACGAUGUGAGGAAGACAAUGGAAGUGUUUGCUAAAUUGGGGUAAGGAUCCACACUUUACAUACCAUGUGCAGGCAGACAAAGAGGGCCGGACAAAGAACUUGAUGUGGGCGAAUGGCAGCAGCAGGCUGCAGUACAGUUUCAUUGGUGGUGUAGUGACGUUUUAUACAACGUACCGGACGAACGUUUACGACAAUGCCCUUAAGACUUUUCGUUGGGGAUAACAAUUUUUAGAGUACUAUACUGGCUGGUGUACUGCUACGAGUCGAGACCGAGGAAAGUUUUGAGUGUGUUUUUUCAGACUUUCCACGGAUGAUGAGAGACAUGGCGCCGAAAACAAUACUCAUUGAACAGAAUCGGACGAUGGAUGAUGUCCCCGAAGCAACCUCGGAAGCCUGCAAGGUGUAAGAGUUGUGGUUUGAGGGCCAUAGGAGAAACAACUGCACCAAGGCAAUGAAGAUGAGGUUAGCAACAUGUGUGAUGCUAGAGUGUAGUGCUAGGGCUGAGGGGUUGUUUCUCGUUAGUUGUAAACCUGUGAUGUUGUAUUAUUGUGGACUAUUUCUAAUUUUGGGUUGUACUGGUUGGCAGGCUGAAGUGCAGUUAAAAAAAUGUGUCGUUGUUUUAGUUAAUUGCCCAUGGUGCGAAUGAUGGUUGUGGUCAUAGUUACAUGCUUGAUCUACUGAUUCUUGCAGUUUGUAGUGCUGAAUCUUUGAGGUGAUCUUGCUUAUUCUUGUAGCCUGGUUUGUUCUGUUGAA